rnacentral:sRNA from 1 species
GACGGAAUUUCACGUUGUUGCUCAGGCUGGAGUGGAACGGUGCAAUCUUAGCUCACUGCAACCUCCGCCUUCCAGUUUCAAGCGAUUCUCCUGCCUCAGUCUCCCGAGUAGCUGGGAUUACAGAACUUCCAUCUGAUCGACUUCAACUUGCUGAUGGUGACCACCAUUGUUCUGGGCCGCCGCUUCAUUGGGUCCAUCGUGAAGGAGGCUUCUCAGAGGGGGAAGGUCUCCCUCUUUCGCUCCAUCCUGCUGUUCCUCACUCGCUUCACCGUUCUCACGGCAACAGGCUGGAGUCUGUGCCGAUCCCUCAUCCACCUCUUCAGGACCUACUCCUUCCUGAACCUCCUGUUCCUCUGCUAUCCGUUUGGGAUGUACAUUCCGUUCCUGCAGCUGAAUUGCGACCUCCGCAAGACAAGCCUCUUCAACCACAUGGCCUCCGUGGGGCCCCGGGAGGCGGUCAGCGGCCUGGCGAAGAGCCGGGACUACCUCCUGACACUGCGAGAGACGUGGAAGCAGCACACAAGACAGUUGUAUGGCCCGGACGCCAUGCCCACCCAUGCCUGCUGCCUGUCGCCCAGCCUCAUCCGCAGCGAGGUGGAGUUCCUCAAGAUGGACUUCAACUGGCGCAUGAAGGAAGUGCUCGUCAGCUCCAUGCUGAGUGCCUACUAUGUGGCCUUUGUGCCUGUCUGGUUCGUGAAGAACACACAUUACUAUGACAAGCGCUGGUCCUGUGAACUCUUCCUGCUGGUGUCCAUCAGCACCUCCGUGAUCCUCAUGCAGCACCUGCUGCCUGCCAGCUACUGUGACCUGCUGCACAAGGCCGCCGCCCAUCUGGGCUGUUGGCAGAAGGUGG